rnacentral:piRNA from 1 species
GUAGAAACUCAUGAAGAAUGUUGU